rnacentral:misc_RNA from 1 species
GUGAAUCAUCGAAUUUUUGAACGCAUAUUGCACCAUCUGGUAUUCCGGAGAGUAUGCCUAUUUGAGGGUCAUUUGAAAUAAUAUAAAUUUCGAGAUUUUCUUGAAAUCAAAAAUGGGUCGGUCCAGCUUUCGUGUUUUGGUCGCCUACUAUGCAAGACAAGCUCAUUUCUUGGGUUGCUUGAUACUUUCAGUUACCUCGUGACUUCACAAGAAAUCUUUUAGCGUGUUAAGAAUUUUGCAAGUAUUAAACUUCAUUUACCUCCAUCUCAAU